rnacentral:rRNA from 1 species
UCCCAGCUGUAAACGAUGCAAACUCGGUGAUGCCCUGGCUUGUGGCCAGUGCAGUGCCGCAGGGAAGCCGUUAAGUUUGCCGCCUGGGAAGUACGUACGCAAGUAUGAAACUUAAAGGAAUUGGCGGGGGAGCACCACAAGGGGUGAAGCCUGCGGUUCAAUUGGAGUCAACGCCAGAAAUCUUACCCGAAGAGACAGCAGAAUGAAGGUCAAGCUGGAGACUUUACCAGACA